CUCCUCCUCCCCCCCCCCCCCCCACUGUCCCUGCCUUCUCUCUUCUGUCACCAUACGAUGUUCUAGGCACGCUUCGUCCUUCUGCAGCACCAGCUCUGGGAUCAGCAGCCAUUUCUUCGAGGAACUCUGUUUCCUGUCACGGACAAGGUUAUUGAGAAACCAAGGUCACAGAAGAACUCAGUUCUCCUGGAAGUGUCACUGACCGUAGGCUCCUUUGUCAGACAGAGAGAUUCCUGGGUCGCGUGGUUUGACUUUCGUCCCAGCUCUCCAUCCGUCACAUACGUGUCGCAAAGUAAGGAAGAUUGAGCCCAGACAAGAACUGGGUGUCAGGAGGGGGCCAGGAGAGAAACCGGACAAAACCUAACGUACACGUGCACCAUCGUAGAAACAAGCUCUCACGUACACAGCAAAGUGGAAAACAAAAACGCGGAACGCACCCACGUCUUGCACUCUUGUGCGUGCACAGCCUGUGCGUCUGGAAGGAGACACAAGAAACUGCUACCAACAGCU